UUAUCUGUGGAUAUGCAUAUUUUGAUUUUGAACAUCCCGUUGAUCUCGAAAGAGCUUCGAAGAUUAGUUGAUUUUAACGGGCCGCAGUUUUGAAGUUCUACGAAAAUGAUUUAACAACCAAGACUACAAGCCCUUGAAAAAAUUUUACCUGUGAAAUGAACCAACGUGAAUAACGCUUAGAAGGCUGUUACUAUAUCAGAAAAUAACUCUGAGCACUAUGCCGCCAUCUUUGAGCGGUACAGGUGAGUACGCGAAUGAAUGGAAUUUCUCAGGUACAGAUGAUGAAUUACGACUAAUUAUUAUUAAUGUACGGCUUUGUUAUACUUAUAGUGUUAAAGAUGAUUAAAAAUAAAUGUCGAAAAACCUAGUGCCGUACUAAAGUGGUGGUGCCGGAAGUCAGUACAAAUUUAUAAUUCGUCGACAAUCGCAAAAGCAAUAUAGGUCAUUUGUUACUGUACGUCAUUUGUGUAAUUCCUUUUGUACACUACAGAUACUUUACUCAUAAACGCCGUACAUAUUUCCAGCGCAGGGGUCGACACUAGGUUUUAUGACAUUUAUUUUUAAUCAUCUCUAACGCUAUAACAAAGCCGUACCAUUAAUAAUUUGUCGUGAUUCAUCAUUUGUACCUGAGAAAUCACAUUCACUCGCGUACUCACCUGUACUGCUAAGAAAUGACGGCAUAGUGCUCAGUUAUUUUCUGAUAUACCUAGUAUCAAUCUUCUAGGCGUUAUUCACUAUAUUAUUGGUUCAUUUCACAGGUAAAAAAUUUUCAUAGGCUUGUAGUCCACAAAGCCUAUCUUAAUCAAAAGAGAUAUCAACUUAUAUCUACCUAACAUAUAUAGUAUAAACGAACGAGAAUUCUCGUGUCUCAGAUUAUGGUGCACGUCACCUCCGAGGGUGAUUUAUUACUGGAGGGGGUUUCAAAGUUUUAUGACCAUCUCUAUUUAAACACCUGUAAGUAUUCGGCCAUGGGCAUUCUCACUAUCGACAGAUCAAGUACAUGCACGAUACUGAGCGCGGCUAUAGCAAUAGUGGUUUUGAUGGUGUAAACUCAAAACUGACUAUUUUUAACCAUACAAAAGAUUGUCGCGUGCAAAUCAAUAAGUUUUACUCAAAACUGGCGUGUCCUCAUUGA